UGAGAGGCGCCGGGACUGGCUCAGGUGUAUUCUACAGUGCACGUGUCUCCAGUGUGGCUCCGAGGCUGGAGACGCGGCCCUGUUGGAGUAACAACUGAAGCCGGAGUCUGCGAAGGGUGGGCAGG
ensembl:miRNA MIR139 microRNA 139